rnacentral:lncRNA from 1 species
GGAAGAGACAAAGGGCUGUGUGAUGUGUAAUGUGCAAUGUGUAUUCAUAUUCUAGAGGUAAGGUUAUUUUGUUCCAUGAGAAGGUGCAGAAAUAUUGAAAAUACAGACUUCAAAGAGCUCUGUAAUGGAUCCUUUACUGAAGAUUACUGCAUAUGUACAUGAUAAGGGGUGAAAUCUCAAAUUGAGAUGAUGCAGUAAGUGGGUAUGUAUUAGGAUCACUUUUCUUUCUGAUUCAUAUUAAUGAUCUUGAUUCUUGUAUACCUAGUAAAGCACUGUAGUGAGGUUCACAGAAAAUAGGGCAAAGAGCAAACAUUGUAGAAACAACAAAUGAAAUUCAAAAAGAUUAAGACAAAAUUCAAGACUGGGAAAGCACCUGGAAGAUGAUAUUAACUAUAAAAAAGUGGAGGUGUUGCAUGCAGGUAAUAAAAACAAAACUAUAAAUACAAAAUGGUAAAUGCUGAGCUUGCAGAAACUACUUUCAGAAAAUACAUUUUUGUUGAUUUAUUAUUUAUGCCUUCUAGACAAUGUGGGGAAGCUAUA